rnacentral:piRNA from 1 species
UGCUGGGCUAAAACAAACUUUUUGGACUUC